rnacentral:rRNA from 1 species
AUUGAACGCUGGCGGCAGGCCUAACACAUGCAAGUCGAGCGGAUGAAGGGAGCUUGCUCCUGGAUUCAGCGGCGGACGGGUGAGUAAUGCCUAGGAAUCUGCCUGGUAGUGGGGGAUAACGUCCGGAAACGGGCGCUAAUACCGCAUACGUCCUGAGGGAGAAAGUGGGGGAUCUUCGGACCUCACGCUAUCAGAUGAGCCUAGGUCGGAUUAGCUAGUUGGCGGGGUAAAGGCCUACCAAGGCGACGAUCCGUAACUGGUCUGAGAGGAUGAUCAGUCACACUGGAACUGAGACACGGUCCAGACUCCUACGGGAGGCAGCAGUGGGGAAUAUUGGACAAUGGGCGAAAGCCUGAUCCAGCCAUGCCGCGUGUGUGAAGAAGGUCUUCGGAUUGUAAAGCACUUUAAGUUGGGAGGAAGGGCAGUAAGUUAAUACCUUGCUGUUUUGACGUUACCAGCAGAAUAAGCACCGGCUAACUUCGUG